UAACGGAACAACAGAAUACAGAGGAACGGCGUAAAUGUAUGUGAUGGAAUCUGCAGCAGUGAACUUUCACCUCUGAUGCUCCGGAUCUCCGCUGGUCUUCUGAUUCACCGGUGUGUGUGUGUGUGAUGAGCUCAUCAUGGGUGAAGCCUUCACACACACGAAGCUCUGCGGGAAACAUCUGCGUCUGCUGCUCUUCAUCCUCCUGCCGUGUGUGUGUGGCCUGAUCUGUGUGUGUGUGCUCCUGCUGACGCUCACAGGUA